GUGAGUGGCUUGGACUGGAGGAAGUCCAUAGAGUAUGGAGAGGGUACUGGAGGCUGAGGUAGAAUGAGGUAAAUGGGAAUUGGAUAAGAUGCACUGGCUGCAUUUGGUGACAUUUCUGCCUGAGUAGGUAUUCGAAUAUGCACUGCCACUUCGUGGUCCCCCUGAGACAGCUGGAGAACUGAAUUGACUUUCACUGCUCUGUAAUCAGAUUGUUUGUAGUAGUUUAAUUUACUCGUCAGGUGACAAUAAUUAUUGAAAAUAUUCCUAAAAUGAAUUUUCUGCCAUUAUUAUGAAUAGUGAAGAAAAUCGAAGCCUUUUUGGGAGAUCAACAAAAUGCUGACUUGGUUUCUAUGUAUGCCUCAUGGGUCAUAGCACCCAGCCACUAGCCAGUGCUUGCACCCUCUGCUGGCCCCAGGACUAGGAGGUCAGGGUAGCCUCUCUGAUGAGCCUCUGACCUCCAGCCUCAGUAGUGGCAGCACCCCUUCUCCAUGGACUUCCACACCAAGGUCCAGAAGCAGGUGUCAGAGAGAGAGAGAGAGAGACCGAGCUCCUCCUCACAGGGGGUUGCCGAGGGCCCCCUGGGCUCUGCCUAGAAUGCUCUUGGAGAAGUGCGGAUGGAGAAGCAGAUUAGAGGCUCCAGUGGUUGGUUCCAGUGAAACUAAUCAGAGUGCUAGAGUGCUAGAGACAGGAGAAGACAUUUAGGUUAAUUUUAUCUCUUUCCACCUACAAAAACUAAGGCCCAAUUUUUAAAUGAAAUUGUUUUUCUUCCUUUUAUGUGUCUCUAAUUGUACCUGACUUUUGCUGACACUCCCGACGUUUAACCACAUAUUCACAAAACUUCAUUCAUGUUUUUCAUGAGGGAUGCAAUUCUCACCUGCUCUGACAGGUGAAUGCACCAUCCAGAUGUCCCUAUAUACAUCACAUGAAGGAGGUAACAGAUGAGUCAUCCACACACUAACACAGAUGAGUUUAUCAAAUGCAGCCAUUAGGGAUGGGCCCAUGUUACCAAAGGACAGAGUGGGGGAAGGUGCUCAUUCCAAGAGGCUGCUGCAAGAGUUCAGUCAACCCAGGACACCUAGAGCCAUCUGGGCCUGAAGCCAGGGGCUGGCAAGUGACAGAAUGGACCACAGAGUCUUUUUCUCCUUCCACAUUUUCAAUAGACCAUAUACUGUCAUAGUAUUUUGUGAAACAUUUAAAAAUCUAAAGUACAACAUACAUACAGAAAACACAUGAAACCUAAAUACACAGCUCUGUAACUUAUCACAAAGUGAGAACCCAUGUAACUACAAGUCAGGUCAAAAACUAGAAGUUACCUGCACCCCAAAACUGUCCUUGUAUCUCCUCCUUUCCAAAGCUAGCCACUACAACCUUGUGUGCCAGAGUUCGCUCUCUUUUAGUUUGUGCUUAUUAUAAAUAGAGUAACUCAGGAUGUGUGUUCCUGAUGGAUGUGUGGCGGCUGAUGACAGAACUACAAGGAGAGCAGUGCCAUGCACUAAACCCUGAUCUUGUUCUGGGCAUUGGGCUAAAGCUUUCCGUGGCUCAUUCCAUUUAGUGGCUGGAAGUUGCAGAGGUUUCAGAAGCUCAUCCAAGAUUCUGGAGCCUCCAUCUCCAGCCCUAAUGCUGUCCGCCUUUUCACCCAGCCACCACCUGUUUCAGGAGAACACACAGAAGUGAUGACCUUUUCUGGACAGGAUACCCUCUGAGGUCAAAUCAUUGGGCUUGUGGCCAUGAGACCACAGACUUUGCCUGGCUUCCAGUGACUGUCCGAGAUGACCUGUGGAGUGCACCGCCUGUACUUGGACAUCACUGUCUUUUCGGAUCCAUACCCGUCAUCCUUGGAAUUUCCCCUGCAUCCAAACCUGUUCCUGAUACAGGUAUAACCCUAAGGAAUAUCUUGGAUGUCUUCACGGGGCUUAUGACUUAUUCUGAGGUUUACAAAAUAGAGGCCCCCAGCUGAGCAAAGAGAGGGCUGCAGCGCCGAGGGAACAGCUGCCGGACUCACCGGAGAGGCCUCCUGGAGCACGCCGGGACCCCCUCCACCCCCUGGCUUUGGCUGCAUCAAUGGCUAGUUUGCCUGAACUAUAUCUGAGCCACUGAGAGUAUUUAUUAAGCAGAGAAUAAUUUUGAGUUUCACUUUUAUAACUUUUGUUUCAAAAGUUGUUUUGGAUAAUUUAAUGAAAUGACUGUAAACCAGAAUUCCCCUUUUCAUUAUUUCUUUGUGUCAAUAUAAAAAGAGUUGAUGAUUUUAAAAGCCAGUGAGAUGUCCCUGUCUGUGGAUGUCAGCGGGAGGGUGGGGUCUGACGCCUUUCUCUGGUGGCUGUCCAGGAAGAUUGCCCCAGCUUGCACUCCCUUUUGGCGGGUUCCAGAGCCUUCCAUUUGAAAGGAGCAUCUCUCACCACUCUGCCCCACCCAGCACCAGCUCUUCUGGAACCCACUGACUUCCUAAACACUUUCUUCCUCCUUCACCUCAUUGAAUUCAAGACUUUAGAAAACAGCCAAAAACUCUAGAGGUGGGGGUGGGUUCGAUCUGGAAAUCCCUGCUGUAAUCUUUUUAAGGGAAUCCACUGGAAAUUAUUAAUUUAUGUUUUAAAUAAAACCAUUCCUUACUUAACAGAAUAUUAAGCCACUCAUUUUUUUAACAGAACUUUCGAGAUAUAAUUAAAAUGCCAUAAAUUUCACCCCCACACAGUGUACAAUUCCAAGGUUUCCAAUAUAGUCACAGAAGUCUCUGCAACAAUUACCACAAUUUUAGACAUGAAGACCAUUUGUUGGCAGCCCUACCUGCCUCUAUGUGUAUGUAUAUAAUUUUAAUAUUGGAUUGGAUACUAUAGUAAUAUUGUACUGUUACCUAUUUGUGUUUUUAUAUUGCUGUUUUAUUUUAUUCAGAUGAAUAAUAAUUAUCUCCAUAUAGUCAUACAUUUAUAUAGGGUUAAACACACCUUUUUACAAUUCAAUAAAUUAAAUUGGUCAGGUAUGGUGGCUCACGCCUGUAAUCCCAGCACUUUGGGAGGCCAAGGCGGGUGGAUCACCUGAGGUUGGGAGUUUGAGACCAGCGUGAUCAACAUGGAGAAACCCUGUCUGUACUAAAAAUACAAAAAAUUAGCCAGGCAUGGUGGCACAUGCCUGUAAUCCCAGCUACUUGGGAGGCUGAGGCAGGAGAAUCACUCGAACCAAGGAGGCGGACAUUGCGGUGAGCCAGGAUCGCACCAUUGCACUCCAGCCUGGGCAACAAGAGCAAAACUCCAUCUCAAGAAGAAAAAAAAAAAAAAAGUAAAUUGUUUUUAAUUACAUAAGAAACACGUGUUAUUGUUAUAGAAAUUCACAUAGUGCUUCGGUCUAUAGAAUAAAUGUAUCCCCACCACCUCCCAGCCCACCCACUCGUCUGCAUUCACCUACACACAGUUAAACAUGCACAUAUGUUUCCGUGACACGAUCUUGCUUUGCAUAUUGUUCACUGACUGGCUUUUCCAUAUAAGAUUUAAUUUGGUGAUUAUUGCUUAUCAGUACCUAUAGGUCUCUCUCAUUAUUAUUUAUAAUUACAUCAUUAUUCCAUAGGGUAUUUUACCACAAUUUGGUCACUUUUUCACUGAGGAAUUUUUAUGUCAGUUUCAGUUAUUUGUUAUUGUUACCAAUGCUGUACUGGGCAUCCCUGUAUAUCCACCUUUUUGUUGCAUUAGUUAAGUGGUUUUUUCCUUUUAUGAUUGAUUUCUAAAAAUAAAAUACUGCAGCAAAUGUUAAUGUUUAAUAUUUUCAUAAAAUUAAAAAUCUGUGUUCCAAAAAGAAAUCAAUGGUUUAUACUUCUACCAUCAAUGUAUGAGAAUUCCUAUUUCCCCACACCCUUAAUUACAUAGGAAAUUAUCAAUGUUUGCCAAUUUUAUGAUUUUAAAAUAUUUUUACUUUUAAUUUGGAUUUCUCCACUUAUUAGGGAGAUUGUGCAUAUUUGUGUAUGUGUGUUGGCCGUUUGUAUUUCUCCCUGUGAUUUUCAUAAUGAUACGUUUUCCUAGUUUUCUAAUUCAUUUAGUGAUAUUCUUUAUAUGUUCUGCACAUUUAUUAUUUCCAUAUAAUUACUGAGUUUUUUUUAAGGUCUGUGUCAUAACUUUUACUUUGUUUAUAUUGUUUUUGUUUUGAAGAAGGUUUUCUUUUUACAUAGUCAAAUUUUCAAUAUUUUCCUUACCAUUUCUGGAUUUUGUGACAGGCUUUCAAUAGUUGGUCCUUCUAGGGCUUUAUUGAUUUGUUUUGUUUUAAAGAACAUGCUCAAAUCCUACAUUAUAUAGUGAUUUACUUGUUCCCUUUAUAACACGUGGUAGACAUUACUAGUUCCAAUUAAUGUAGAUUAAAUGUAUUCUUUUCAGUUGUGUAGUAAUUCAUAGAUACGUUCUGAUUUCUUUAUUCUCUGUUAGAUGGAUAUUAAGCUUAUUUUUUAAAAUUCCCACCACUAAUGACUUUCCAGUAAUCAUCAAUAUACAUAGAUCCCCCCAAUGUUUUUGUUUUUUUGUUUUUAUGUAGUAUACGAAUCUCAAAAUGGUAUAAUUGAGCUACGAUAAAUUUAAUUAUAAUUUAAAAAAUACUGACAUUAUUUUUCACAGAGUUAAUCAGAUCACACUCUUACCAAUUACAUAAGUAGGCCUCUUCCUAUGUAGGCUCAAUAG
rnacentral:lncRNA from 1 species